GAUGAACGCUGGCGGCGUGCCUAAUACAUGCAAGUCGAGCGAACAGACGAGGAGCUUGCUCCUCUGACGUUAGCGGCGGACGGGUGAGUAACACGUGGAUAACCUACCUAUAAGACUGGGAUAACUUCGGGAAACCGGAGCUAAUACCGGAUAAUAUAUUGAACCGCAUGGUUCAAUAGUGAAAGACGGUUUUGCUGUCACUUAUAGAUGGAUCCGCGCCGCAUUAGCUAGUUGGUAAGGUAACGGCUUACCAAGGCAACGAUGCGUAGCCGACCUGAGAGGGUGAUCGGCCACACUGGAACUGAGACACGGUCCAGACUCCUACGGGAGGCAGCGGUAGGGAAUCUUCCGCAAUGGGCGAAAGCCUGACGGAGCAACGCCGCGUGAGUGAUGAAGGUCUUCGGAUCGUAAAACUCCGUUAUUAGGGAAGAACAAAUGUGUAAGUAACUAUGCACGUCUUGACGGUACCUAAUCAGAAAGCCACGGCUAACUACGUG
rnacentral:rRNA from 1 species